ACAAAACUUUAUUAGUUACUGCUAAUUAUUUGCUUAUAGUACUAGAGAAUUUUGUAAGUUUUCUGAACAAAAAUAUUUACAUACAUGAAAAUUAUGAAAAAAACAAGCAUUAAAAAUAAAAAGUGAGAUUUGGGUGUGUUUUAAGAGUAUGACGGGUUGUGGUCAAAACUUCGGGUCAAAACUCUCAUGGUACUUAGCCUCGCGGAGGGGCUACAGUGUAUCUGCUAUAGGUGGGCCAGUAAUUCAGAAGAUAACACUCAUGAACUUCUGAUCUACAAGAUAUAUCAAUGUCACUGUUAUUUAAAACCAAAGAUAUAUGAAAUUACAAAUAAUGUUCAGAGAAUACUCUAAUGCAUCACAAAUAGCCACACAAAGUUACGAAACUAGCUUAAAUAUUUACCUAAAAUACACAUAUAAUAAAACAAGGAUACUCUACACAUGUAUAAAAUUUGUGAGGUAGUCCAAAUGUUUUGAGAAUAUAAAUCAGUGAAGUGAGUGGAGAGCCUCCUAAGAACACUGCUUAAAAGGUAAUUCUCACGAGAAUAUAAAAUUUCUGGCCUGAUAACGGAAAACAUUCAGUGUUGUGACUUGAUGGUCAUACCUGCCUUUUAUACAUGUGCUCAGAUGGGGCCAGAGGCUGCUCAGCAUGGGAUGAGAAUGAUGACCAGUGGUUAGCUCCAAGGUGCCACUUCAUUCCAGGUCUUCUAAAGAACAAAAUAAAUUAUUUAGCUAGUUGGACACCAUUAUUUUCCCCAUCAUUCUCAUUUCCCAAGUUCUCCUCUUGCCAUAUUGGUGGUUGAUAAAUCCUGUCAUUUCUUCCAGAAUAUCUCUCAAAUCUAUUUCUUUAUUAUGCAAUUAACUUUAAUUCUAACUCCCAUUUGAUUUCCUUGAGUUGGUUUAAAUUUUUUCCUCAUGUCUUUGCUGCACAACGUAAUUUAUUAUAGCAAUUGUGUGUAAAAACACUUUAUGAGAUAGACUGUAUGUACUAAUUGUCACUGCUAUAAUUUGACCCUUUUUAGUGCUAUCCUCCUUCCAACAAUCGUCAACCCCUUACUCGUCGUUUCCAUCAGGAUAUAGUGUCACUCAACUGCUUUGUGCAUAGUAGGUAAUAAUUAAAUCAUUGGAAGAAAUAAUGUAAGUUGUACAUUUAGUUAUUGAGCUACUAUGUAAAUAAUGAAGAAACCAAGAAACAUUUUUAUUCCUUUGUGCUUUUUUUAAACAUCUUUUUCUUUUGACAAAGUCCUUAUACUGAACUCCAGAAUUAAAUAAUAUUAUAGUAAGAUUCUGUAGUAAUUAGCAUGUAGAAGCUAAGUCUGAUAUACACUCAUGUUGUGUUUUCAAUAACGUCUGUUAAGUAACAUGUAAAUGUUAGUCUAUUUCUGUGACCUUUUAACUUACUAUCAAGUCCCGAGGUAUUUAGAUACUGAGGAGAAUGGUGUGAAGUCAGUGUAAGAUAUGAUUUAUAUAAAAAUAAUUUCUAGUGAAUUUUAAAUAGUACUUUAUAAAGUUUGGUGGAAUAUUUGCAACGUGAAAACCUUUAAAAGUAGAACAUUUCACAAAGAGAAUGCUCAACAGAUUAGAAAAUCAGAUCUGGGAUUUAAUUUUCAGGUUGAGCAGUUAUUUUAAACAGUGAAAAUUAAGCUUUUUAUUUCUUAAUCUUGUUUUUCUUCUAGAGUUAGACAAAUAUUGAUACGUGUUUUCCGGUUAUUGAUUGAGCAUAUUUUUCUUUUGCUUAAAUUAUUUUCCUUUACUUACUGUAGCUUUCAAUAAAAUGAAUAGCUUUGGCAUAUACAUAAUCUCAUCAUUAGAGUUUUCAAUAACAGUGGAAUAGAGAAGGAUAUUUACCUUAUUUUUAUUUCUCUUCCUUUUUGUUCAAUCUGUUGUUUACAUGUCCAUGAAGGCAUUUCCUAAUUGGUACAGACACUCAUUUUGUGUAUCACUUCGAUGAUUUAGCUUAAGAAAACAAGGAUCAUGUUUAUGGUAAGAAGAUACAGAAAAAAAAAAAAACCCCAGACAAAUAACAUCACAUCUACUCAUGUAUUUACUCAUUUCAUUCAUUCAACAAAUAUUUAGUGAAUACCCAUGAUGAAGUGAUUCAUGAGCAGAUAAUCUAGGUUAAGUUGAGGUGAUAGCACAUUUAUUUUGCUCUGUGUAUCUCUUUGACAUUCUUUCAUUACUCUGAUCUCUGGACACAGUUGGUUCUUCCUUAAUGUUAACCUUUCAAUAUUUUACAUUUAAUUCAGUUCCCUCUUCCUACAGAAAUUUAUUUAUAAUUUCCCUUUUCCCCUAUAUACUCAGUAUAUUCUUCUCAUUUGACUACUUCUUUGGGGGGAACAAAUACACUCACUCUUGCCUUUCUAAAAUAACCCCUUCUUUGAUUCUGCUAUCCUUGGAACUACUAUCUUUUCUGCUUCUACUGAAAAAAAAAAAAGACAAAGGUAAUUUUACUGUAAUCACAUUUUUAUUAUCCGUUUUGCCCUUUGUUCCUUUUUUUUAAAAAAGAUUUUAUUUAUUUAUUCGACAGAGAUAGAGACAGCC